GAUGAAGAACGUAGCGAAAUGCGAUAGGUAAUGUGAAUUGCAGAAUUCAGUGAAUCAUCGAAUCUUUGAACGCACAUUGCGCCCUCUGGUAUUCCGGGGGGCAUGCCUGUUCGAGCGUCAUUAUAACCACUCAAGCUCUCGCUUGGUAUUGGGGUUCGCGGUUUCGCGGCCCCUAAAAUCAGUGGCGGUGCCUGUCGGCUCUACGCGUAGUAAUACUUCUCGCGAUUGAGUUCGAUAGGUCUACUUGCCAGUAACCCCCAAUUUUUACAGGUUGACCUCGGAUCAGGUAGGGAUACCCGCUGAACUUAAGCAUAUCAAUAAGCGGAGGA
rnacentral:misc_RNA from 1 species